ACACUAAAUGAAUAAAAUAUUCUCUAUCUAUUAAUAAAUUUAUUAUAAAUACUUUUAAGUCCACCUUAUAGAAAAUUUUAAAUCUUCUAACUGAAAAAAUUUUUUAUUGUAACUCGCCUUAUUUCUUAUUUAUUUGCUGCACUUUGAUUUGUAUUAAACUUUUAAGGAGAGUUUGAAUUCACCUAAAGGUGAAUUCAUGACAACGGUAUACAAGCUCUUGUAAAUAAGUAUAGUGUUCUUGGUGGCUAUCAAUUAUAUGGUAAGUUCCCCUAAAUACUACAUUCAGCCGCCAUAAUAUUUAAGUUUGGGCUUGAUAAUAAGCAUUAAUUCUUGUUUAAAUAUAUUAAUCUCCUUAUAAUUGGGUAUCUAAUCCAGGUUUAAUUUUUGGAGGUUAGCUAUAAAAUAAUACAGUUAGCUCUUUUAAAUAAUAGUAUUUCACUACAUAUUAUAAUUUCAUGUAUUACUUAUAGAUAAACAAAUACUAUAAAUUUGUCUAACAGGUAUGACCGCGGUUGCUGGCACCUAAUAAACCUAGACUAUAUAAUUAUCUAAAUUUAAAUUUCUUUAAUUGUUUAAGAUUUUUAACUGGAGAAAAUGUUUACACUCCAUAUUAAGUCAGAUUAUUAACUUACAGAUUCCAUUAUAUUAAAGUGGCAUCUAAGGGGGUUGUUUACCAUUUUAGA
rnacentral:rRNA from 1 species